rnacentral:rRNA from 1 species
AGAGUUUGAUCCUGGCUCAGAACGAACGCUGGCGGCAUGCCUAACACAUGCAAGUCGAACGAACUCUUCGGAGUUAGUGGCGCACGGGUGCGUAACGCGUGGGAAUCUGCCCUUGGGUACGGAAUAACUCAGAGAAAUUUGUGCUAAUACCGUAUAAUGUCUUCGGACCAAAGAUUUAUCGCCCAAGGAUGAGCCCGCGUAAGAUUAGCUAGUUGGUGGGGUAAAAGCCUACCAAGGCGACGAUCUUUAGCUGGUCUGAGAGGAUGAUCAGCCACACUGGGACUGAGACACGGCCCAGACUCCUACGGGAGGCAGCAGUGGGGAAUAUUGGACAAUGGGCGAAAGCCUGAUCCAGCAAUGCCGCGUGAGUGAUGAAGGCCCUAGGGUUGUAAAGCUCUUUUACCCGGGAUGAUAAUGACAGUACCGGGAGAAUAAGCUCCGGCUAACUCCGUGCCAGCAGCCGCGGUAAUACGGAGGGAGCUAGCGUUGUUCGGAAUUACUGGGCGUAAAGCGCGCGUAGGCGGUUUUUUAAGUCAGAGGUGAAAGCCCAGUGCUCAACACUGGAACUGCCUUUGAAACUGGAAAACUUGAAUCUUGGAGAGGUCAGUGGAAUUCCGAGUGUAGAGGUGAAAUUCGUAGAUAUUCGGAAGAACACCAGUGGCGAAGGCGACUGACUGGACAAGUAUUGACGCUGAGGUGCGAAAGUGUGGGGAGCAAACAGGAUUAGAUACCCUGGUAGUCCAA